CACAUGUGAAUGCCUUGCGAGAGAAUUUCUGCUCCCCUUCAGUUGGGGACAUCACCCAUAAUGCAGAGGCCCCAGCAAUCAGAAAAGGACAUGAUAGAUCUAAUAAUCACUUGGAUUUAUUGUUGACACAAAACACUCAAUCAUUCCAACAAUCCACCAGUCCUAAAUGCAGCGCCGAAACAUGAGUCCUCGAAUUGGUUGCCUUGUCUGAUAAAUAAAUGUUGGUGAUUGACAUGGCACCGGCAUCUGCCCAGACAAAACCCUCGUAGGGAGAACAGAACAGAUAAAAAGCAACAAGCAAAGAAGACAGAUGCUUGCAUUUUCUGCUCGCUAGUAUCUGUCCUGUGAUAAUGGCUGACAGCGAUUUAGGCAUCCCGUCUUGUGGUGUACCCACCACCGCCAAUUCCAAGCCAACCACUUGCCAUCCAGUUGCAAGUUCUUGCAUCAAGCUUUGCAGAAUGAUGCUGAAAGCCGC
rnacentral:sRNA from 2 species